rnacentral:rRNA from 1 species
UACAGAGGGUGCGAGCGUUAAUCGGAAUUACUGGGCGUAAAGCGUGCGCAGACGGUUGCGUAAGUCAGAUGUGAAAGCCCCGGGCUCAACCUGGGAAUGGCGAUGGUGACUGCAAGGCUAGAGUUUGGCAGAGGGGGGUAGAAUUCCACGUGUAGCAGUGAAAUGCGUAGAUAUGUGGAGGAACACCGAUGGCGAAGGCAGCCCCCUGGGUCAAAACUGACGCUCAUGCACGAAAGCGUAGGGAGCAAACAGG